UGAACUGUUCAGAAACGCCUCUUUCGGCAAC
rnacentral:piRNA from 1 species